rnacentral:rRNA from 1 species
UACGUAGGGGGCAAGCGUUGUCCGGAAUUAUUGGGCGUAAAGCGCGCGCAGGCGGUUCUUUAAGUCUGGUGUCUAAGUGCGGGGCUCAACCCCGUGAUGCACUGGAAACUGGGGAACUUGAGUGCAGAAGAGGAGAGCGGAAUUCCACGUGUAGCGGUGAAAUGCGUAGAGAUGUGGAGGAACACCAGUGGCGAAGGCAGUAUCCUGGAUUGUUUCUGACGCUCAGGUGCGAAAGCUAGGGGAGCGAACGGG